rnacentral:rRNA from 1 species
CCUACGGGGGGCAGCAGUGAGGAAUAUUGGUCAAUGGACGAGAGUCUGAACCAGCCAAGUAGCGUGAAGGAUGACUGCCCUAUGGGUUGUAAACUUCUUUUAUAUGGGAAUAAAAUGUUCCACGUGUGGGAUUUUGUAUGUACCAUAUGAAUAAGGAUCGGCUAACUCCGUGCCAGCAGCUGCGGUAAUACGGAGGAUCCGAGCGUUAUCCGGAUUUAUUGGGUUUAAAGGGAGCGUAGGUGGAUUGUUAAGUCAGUUGUGAAAGUUUGCGGCUCAACCGUAAAAUUGCAGUUGAAACUGGCAGUCUUGAGUACAGUAGAGGUGGGCGGAAUUCGUGGUGUAGCGGUGAAAUGCUUAGAUAUCACGAAGAACUCCGAUUGCGAAGGCAGUUCACUGGACUGCAACUGACACUGAGGCUCGAAAGUGUGGGUAUCAAACAGGAUUAGAUACCCGGGUAGUC